UCUUUGCUAGUAUAUCGGUUAGUACACGCGCUUGUCAUAUCUAAGCGUGUAAUGAAUUGAUCGCGCGAAAGCUGGGUUCGACUCCCAGGCAGAGAG